rnacentral:misc_RNA from 1 species
GAUGAAGAACGCAGCAAAAUGCGAUAAGUAAUGUGAAUUGCAGAAUUCAGUGAAUCAUCGAAUCUUUGAACGCACAUUGCGCCCGCCAGUAUUCUGGCGGGCAUGCCUGUUCGAGCGUCAUUUCAACCCUCAAGCUCAGCUUGGUGUUGGGACUCGCGGUAACCCGCGUUCCCCAAAUCGAUUGGCGGUCACGUCGAGCUUCCAUAGCGUAGUAAUCAUACACCUCGUUACUGGUAAUCGUCGCGGCCACGCCGUAAAACCCCAACUUCUGAAUGUUGAUCUCGGAUCAGGUAGGAAUACCCGCUGAACUUAAGCAUAUCAAUAAGCGGAGGA